ACCCGCUGAACUUAAGCAUAUCAAUAAGCGGAGGAAAAGAAACCAACAGGGAUUGCCCUAGUAACGGCGAGUGAAGCGGCAACAGCUCAAAUUUGAAAUCUGGCGUCUUUGGCGUCCGAGUUGUAAUUUGCAGAGGGCGCUUUGGCAUUGGCAGCGGUCCAAGUUCCUUGGAACAGGACGUCACAGAGGGUGAGAAUCCCGUACGUGGUCGCUAGCCUUUACCGUGUAAAGCCCCUUCGACGAGUCGAGUUGUUUGGGAAUGCAGCUCUAAAUGGGAGGUAAAUUUCUUCUAAAGCUAAAUACUGGCCAGAGACCGAUAGCGCACAAGUAGAGUGAUCGAAAGAUGAAAAGCACUUUGGAAAGAGAGUUAAAAAGCACGUGAAAUUGUUGAAAGGGAAGCGCUUGUAGCCAGACUUGCCUGUAGUUGCUCAUCCGGGUUUUUACCCGGUGCACUCUUCUAUAGGCAGGCCAGCAUCAGUUUGGGCGGUUGGAUAAAGGUCUCUGUCAUGUACCUCUCUUCGGGGAGAACUUAUAGGGGAGACGACAUGCAACCAGCCCGGACUGAGGUCCGCGCAUCUGCUAGGAUGCUGGCGUAAUGGCUGU
rnacentral:rRNA from 1 species